GAUUUUGGGUGCGGUCUAUGUCACC
rnacentral:siRNA from 1 species